AGGGGUUAUUGUGCCCUAUAUGCAACCAGGGGUUAUUGUGCCCUGUGAAGACAUGAAAAAAUAAAAUAGGGUUAUUGUGCCCUAUAUGCAACCAGGGGUUAUUGUGCCCUGUGAAGACAUGAAAAAUAAAAUAGGGGUUAUUGUGCCCUAUAUGCAACCAGGGGUUAUUGUGCCCUGUGAAGACAUGAAAAAUAAAAUAGGGGUUAUUGUGCCCUAUAUGCAACCAGGGGUUAUUGUG